rnacentral:rRNA from 1 species
AGCCUGAUGCAGCGACGCCGCGUGAGGGAUGGAGGCCUUCGGGUUGUAAACCUCUUUCGCCAGUGAAGCAGGCCUGUCCCUUUUGUGGGUGGGUUGACGGUAGCUGGAUAAGAAGCGCCGGCUAACUACGUGCCAGCAGCCCGCGGUAAUACGUAGGGCGCGAGCGUUGUCCGGAAUUAUUGGGCGUAAAGAGCUCGUAGGCGGCUGGUCGCGUCUGUCGUGAAAUCCUCUGGCUUAACUGGGGGCUUGCGGUGGGUACGGGCCGGCUUGAGUGCGGUAGGGGAGACUGGAACUCCUGGUGUAGCGGUGGAAUGCGCAGAUAUCAGGAAGAACACCGGUGGCGAAGGCGGGUCUCUGGGCCGUUACUGACGCUGAGGAGCGAAAGCGUGGGGAGCGAACAGGAUUAGAUACCCUGGUAGUCCACGCCGUAAACGUUGGGCACUAGGUGUGGGGGGCCUUUUCCGGGUCUUCCGCGCCGUAGCUAACGCAUUAAGUGCCCCGCCUGGGGAGUACGGCCGCAAGGCUAAAACUCAAAGGAAUUGACGGGGGCCCGCACAAGCGGCGGAGCAUGCGGAUUAAUUCGAUGCAAC